AGCGAACGCUGGCGGCAGGCUUAACACAUGCAAGUCGAACGCCCGGGCAACCGGGAGUGGCAGACGGGUGAGUAACGCGUGGGAACAUGCCCUUUGGUUCGGAAUAACUCAGGGAAACUUAAGCUAAUACCGGAUAAGCCCUUAUGGGGAAAGAUUUAUCGCCGAAGGAUUGGCCCGCGUCCGAUUAGCUAGUUGGUGAGGUAAUGGCUCACCAAGGUGACGAUCGGUAGCUGGUCUGAGAGGAUGAUCGGCCACACUGGGACUGAGACACGGCCCAGACUCCUACGGGAGGCAGCAGUGGGGAAUAUUGGACAAUGGGCGCAAGCCUGAUCCAGCCAUGCCGCGUGAGUGAUGAAGGCCUUAGGGUUGUAAAGCUCUUUCGGCGGGGACGAUAAUGACGGUACCCGCAGAAGAAGCCCCGGCUAACUUCGUGCCAGCCGCCGCGGUAAGAC
rnacentral:rRNA from 1 species